UACGAAGGUGGCAAGCGUUGUUCGGAUUUACUGGGCGUACAGGGAGCGUAGGCGGUUGGGUAAGCCCUUCGUGAAAUCUCCGGGCCUAACCCGGAAAGUGCGGAGGGGACUGCUCGGCUAGAGGAUGGGAGAGGAGCGCGGAAUUCCCGGUGUAGCGGUGAAAUGCGUAGAGAUCGGGAGGAAGGCCGGUGGCGAAGGCGGCGCUCUGGAACAUUUCUGACGCUGAGGCUCGAAAGCGUGGGGGAGCAAACAGG
rnacentral:rRNA from 1 species